ensembl:lncRNA
AGGAACAGCCUGACACCCAGACGGUCCUGGAGGUCACCCUCUGUGCUCCAGAGAGAAUAAAGAACAGUGCUGAGACUUCCCUGGAGGCUUGGAGAGCCCAGGGUCAUAGAAGAAAGUGGCAAAUUCCCAUUAAGCACAGAAGCAGGUGGGUGAGAUCCAUCAGAAAUGGGGCAAGUACACUCCAAAAUAUGCCUCCUGCUUGGAAAACUCCAAAGACUGGUUUUAUGUCCACAUUUUGUCACUGAUUCAACUAUUGAAUCAGGCCCAUGCUAUUUUUAAAUUGUGAGGGCCAUGCUUCGUUGUAAAAACAAAACAAAACAAACAGUUAGGAGCAGUCCAGACCCUUGUUCAGAUCUGGCCAUCUUAAUUCAGCCAGCCAGGGGUCUCUCCCAGGCACGUGCAAUCAGUCUGGAGCUGUGAAAAAAAGGUGGCAAAUGGACCCUACCUUCCACUGGUCCUACUCUUCCUCCUGACUCCAGCCCAUAAUGAAUGGGGUGUUUCCCUAUCACCCAAGAGGAAUUGAUUAAUUACGAUUUUCAGUGCUCACCAAAAAGAAACCACCAUCGCUAUAUCUGGAACAUGGCUGACAACUGACUCGAGGAUUCAAGUAGUUACUGUCAGGAUGUUAAAAGCCUAGAUACAUGCUCAGUCACUUCAGUCAUGUCUGACUCUUUGCGGUCAUAUGGACAGUAGCCUGUCAGGCUCUUCUGUCCAUGGGAUUCUCUAGGCUGGGCUCCAUGGAUGGCAGUGUGCUGUGUGGGAACUGACGGACUGGCCUCAGGAGACCCACGGCUUUCAACUCUUUGCUGAGAGCUCGGCUGAACCAUCCACUAACCACACCAGCCAAGAAGGGCACCCUCUCUUAACUCUCAGCCCCCUUGGUGUCUGUUCUCAUCUCCUGGUUCUCAGAUUCUUGAUUUUAUACCCAGGAUCCUUUAUCUGUUCCUGGUCCCUUUAAUUUGGCUAAUUGCCUGAUCCUGGUCUUUUGGACUUAAAAUUUCUCAGUUCAGCCCAUAGCAGUCCUCACUCUGGCCCCCAGCAAUGAAGGACAGCAUCCCAUCCUGAUAGCUAAACUCCCCUGAUGUCCCUCCCCAAAGAAGGCAGAUGAGGGGUCCACUCUCAUGAGACCUGCGUGCUGAGA